GACGAACGCUGGCGGCGUGCUUAACACAUGCAAGUCGAACGAAGAGCGACGGAAGCUUGCUUCUAUCAAUCUUAGUGGCGAACGGGUGAGUAACGCGUAAUCAACCUGCCCUUUUGAGGUGGACAACAGUAGGUAACGAUUGCUAAUACCGCAUACGCCCUCACCUCGGCAUCGAGGAUAGAUGAAAGGUGGCUUCUACAUGUAAGCUAUCAUUGAAGGAGGGGAUUGCGUCUGAUUAGCUAGAUGGAGCGGUAACGGCGCACCAAGGCGAUGAUCAGUAGCCGGUCUGAGAGGAUGAACGGCCGCAUUGGGACUGUGACACGGCCCAGACUCCUACGGGAGGCAGCAGUAGGGAAUCUUCCGCAAUGGACGAAAGUCUGACGAAGCAACGCCGCGUGAGUGAUGACGGCCGUCGGGUUGUAAAGCUCUGUUAAUCGGGACGAAAGGCCUUCUUGCGAAUAGGGAGAAGGAUUGACGGUACCGGGAUAGAAAGCCACGGCUAACUACGUG
rnacentral:rRNA from 1 species